AUUACUUCACGUUGGUUGGGCAGUGUCAGAGACUCAAAAUGAGGGUUUUUUUAUUUCCAGAAAAUGAAGCUAAUUCUAGAACUGUCAUAGAAAAAAAGAACCCUGUUCACUGAUGUUUCAAGUUGGAAUUCAUUAGCAGAAUGGAGUGCAUGAGAGUACAGUGGCUGGAAUGUUUGCUUUCAGAUCCUCACAGCCAGGUGUCAAGAGGACACCUAGUAGCUCAAGAUGGAGACAGGGACAAAAUGGGUGACCUCACUGAUCAUUGGCUGCUUUUCAGUGACUCGGCUGUGGUGAAGCUGACUUGCAACCACACAAGUGUUGGCCACGCCGGAUGGAGGGACGAGCUCAGAAAGCGGUACUUCUGUGACAUCACAAACCCGGGCUGCCUUCCCCUGCUCUUCCUGUGGCUGGCGUUGUCAUGAAGCAAAUGCACUCAGAGCGACUGGCCUGCGUGCUGCAGGGCUCCAGGCCCGUGCUGCUGUCCCUGGUCCACGGAGUCCGCGCAGAGCCGGUGCUGUGAGGUUAUGGGAGACUGGGAUACAAGUUAUUGCAUGUGUAUACGAAGUUCUUCAGACAUUCGGAAUCAGGGUCCAAAACCACACUGCAGAGACCAGCCUGAAGAAGAAAACUCCGGAGUCCUAAACCACCUCCUGAAAACAUUUGUUCUCCGCUGUGGAUACAAUGGACUUCCAGAAUGUGAACUGAGCCCCUGCUAGGAUGGUGCAGGGCCUGGGCUCACCUGCUCUGCGAAGUCAGGAGAGCAGAGACAUCAGUGAUCCAGUGACUUCAGGAACGGGAGCAGCUUCAAAGUCCAUGUGCCCUCCUGAUGCCCAAAUAAAUAAUAAUCCUGCAAAGCAUCACAGAAUCAAAUGAAGAGUAAAAUAAGAACGAAGCCCACUCCGGUGCACCACCUUCGUGAGGCCUUCUACCUAGAAUCCCACAUGCUUGGUUCUCAUUAAGGGUCCUUUUGUGCCCAUCACAGGGCUGCAGAGACGCCUGAGGUGUGUGGGUAUCUAGGGGAGCUGUUCUACUUCACCACGGUAAUCAUCUGACCUUGCCACACAGCAGCAGAUUCAGACUGUUGGAUUCCCAACAGCGCUGCCACGGGCCCAUCCCGACUUUGUUCUGCCCACUUAACAAUCACAGCAAACUAGAGAACUGCUUGUAAUUUCACACCAUGCUAAAGCUCCCUAGAAAUAGUCUCAGAAGUGACUUCAUGAGACCCUCAAUGAACAACGGCUCAGUGCUUUCAAAUGUCUUGCUCUGAGCCGCUAUCUUUCAUCCCCGUGUGUGUGCACCUAAUCUCAGCUGCUCUGCCCGAGACCCCUGCCCCAUAACCGCUCCCACAAGAUGAAAGAAACCGUCAGGAACUAGGAAAAAUGUGCCAAACUGCAGGCACAGGUGCGCACUGGUGGGGAAGGGACUGCUCGCAGGAAGAAGGUGGUUCACAGAACAGCUACAGCAGAUGAUAAAAAACUUCAGUUCUCAUUAAAGAAGUUAGGGGUAAACUAUCUCUGGUACUGAAGAGAUGAAUAUGUUUACAAACCAAGGAACAGUGAUCCACUUCCACACCCCAAAAGUUCAGGCAUCUCUGGCAGCAAACACUUUCACCAUUGCAGGCCAUGCUGAGACGAAACAGCUGACAGAUGCUGCCCAGCAUCUCGGACCAGCUCAGUGCAGACAGUCUGACCGGCUUAAGGAGACUGGCUGAGGCUCUGCCCAAACAAUCCAUGGGUGGAAAAGCACCACCUGCUGCUGGAGAGGGAGGAUGAGGAAGUUCCAGAUCUUGUGGAGAAUUUUGAUGAGGCUUCUAAGAAUGAGGCGAUCAGCAUUGAGUCAGCUUCUGAAGAUAAAACUCGAAGAAGUUACUGGGAGCUGCUAUCUUAUAUUAUGACUGCUUUUUAAAGUUGGUUUUGUUUAUGGACUUUAUAAAAUCUAGAUCUCUCAUAUUCUUAAGCCCAAGCCUCUUGGACAUUGCAGCUCUUUGCAGUAUUUGCUUUUAUACAGUUCAUUCUUUGCAGCCAAUUAAUGAAGAAG
rnacentral:lncRNA from 1 species